AUUAUUUUUCCAAAAAAAAAACUAAAAAACUAAAAAAACAUCUGUUCUUAUCAGUUUAAUAUCUGAUACGUCCCCUAUCUGGGGACCAUAUAUUAAAUUGAUUUUUGGAACAGGGAGAUGGAAUAGGGGCUUGCUCCGUCCACUCCGCGCAUCGACCUGGUAUUGCAGUACCUCCAGGAACGGUGCACCCCCU